GUUCGACGAAAUUCUAAGUUCGACGAAAAUCAUUAGUUUGACUCGAAUAAGUUUGCAAGUGAGUAGAGAAGACGGGAUUGGACAGUUUGCAAUGAAGUAAAGCAAAAUGCAAUAAAGAGAAUAAGCAGUAAGGAAAGAACACACUAGAAUUUAUAGUGGUUCGGUUGUUGUGACCUACAUCCACUUCCGAUUCCUCCUCCGUCGAG
rnacentral:lncRNA from 1 species